CCCGCUGAACUUAAGCAUAUUAAUAAGCGGAGGAAAAGAAACCAACAGGGAUAUUCUCAGUAACGGCGAGUGAAGAGAAUACAGCUCAGCGCUGAAUCUUGUUGCUCGAAAGAGUGAUACGACAUGUAGCGUGAAACUGGCGGCUGUUGAUGUUGUCGAUGCGUGUAAGUCUCCUUGAGCGGGGCUCAGUCCCAGAGAUGGUGCUAGGCCCGUAUCGCGCAUGACAAGUACAGCGACGCCCGCUUGUGGAGAGUCAGGUUGUUUGGGAACACAAUCUAAAGCCGGUGGUACACUCCAUCGAAGGCUAAAUAUGACCACGAGUCCGAUAGCGAACAAGUACCGUGAGGGAAAAUUGAAAAGCACUUUGAAGAGAGAGCGAAAUAGUGCGUGAAACCGCUUAGAGGCAAGCAGAUGGAUUCUCGAAGGUGUGCAUAGGAUUUAUUUCCUAGUUCUCACGCCACCACUGUUGUUGACGUGCACCAUGCGCUGACAUUUGGACGCUUGAGAUUGGGACUCGUGCCUGCUUGAGACGCUCGAUGUUGGACGUGUUGAGUUGUUGUGGCAUGCAAUAAUAGAGCAGAGCAUUUGUCGUCGCUGUAAAGCGCCGACUGUGGCCGCUUGCUGAUGCAUUUUGCCGUUGUGGCGAGGCGCAAGCUUCGACAUGCGGCAUGCGUUGCAAAUCGGCUAUUAGUACCGGCAUGACGACUUUAAGACUCGGUGGCGAGUAGAUGAAAUUCCAUCUAACCCGUCUUGAAACACGGGACCAAGGGA
rnacentral:rRNA from 1 species